CCUUACAGGCAACCCUCUCCCCGGAACAAAUAAUGGCCUUUCUAUCAUAGAGCAUUAUCAAUGCCAAAGCCUUGGUAUGAAUAACUGAGAAAUCUCUCUCACUCUUUGUUUCAACAAUAAAUAGAACCUUCUCCUAGAUGAAUACGGUGUGUUAUUCACAUGAUUAACAUGAAGUCAGCUGAUUUCUCUUUUUCUUUGGAGCGUUGCCCGGAAUCUUGCACUGGCAUGGUUAUCAGAGACUUGCCCUGUAAACUGCGCGAGGAUAUUUUGAAUAACUCGACAGUUGUUGCUCUCGUUUAAGUAUCUCAGUGGUGUUUACAGGUAGAGCAGCUUCAGCAGAAGGGUUUGAGAGUUACCCUUCCCUGUGGCAGAGCAGCCUGGAGACCACACUGCAGGACUGCGGAAACAUGGACCUGAAGCUCCUGAUAAAGAAGGUGGUGUGACUGUGUCUAUGAUACCACAUUCACUGUCUGCAGUUACAAGAAUAACAGCACAGCUACUGGAAUGAAAAGUCGUGAUGCAGGUAUGAAUCUCUUUAAGGAGAUCCUGCCUAGAGUAAGGAAGAUUUUUUCAACUGCUACAGCGUCUAAUGACCACGCAUUGCUUAACCUCAUGCUGAAAGAAGAUGUGAUAUCCAAGGAGUAGCAUCAAGCCUUGCUCCGUGAAAAAGACGGAGAGGACCUCGCAAGGAAGAUACCUCUGACAUUUGUGGAAAAAUGGGACCUAUACCUGAACACAUUGAUUCCCCUCUGUUCUUUAAACCUCUGUGGCAGUAAGCCUCAAAACAUGACAGAUAAUGAGUCAUCAGGAAGCAAGUACA